GAUGAACGCUGGCGGCGUGCCUAAUACAUGCAAGUCGAGCGAACAGACGAGGAGCUUGCUCCUUUGACGUUAGCGGCGGACGGGUGAGUAACACGUGGAUAACCUACCUAUAAGACUGGGAUAACUUCGGGAAACCGGAGCUAAUACCGGAUAACAUGUUGAACCGCAUGGUUCAACAGUGAAAGACGGCCUUGCUGUCACUUAUAGAUGGAUCCGCGCCGCAUUAGCUAGUUGGUAAGGUAACGGCUUACCAAGGCAACGAUGCGUAGCCGACCUGAGAGGGUGAUCGGCCACACUGGAACUGAGACACGGUCCAGACUCCUACGGGAGGCAGCAGUAGGGAAUCUUCCGCAAUGGGCGAAAGCCUGACGGAGCAACGCCGCGUGAGUGAAGAAGGUCUUCGGAUCGUAAAACUCUGUUAUUAGGGAAGAACAAAUGUGUAAGUAACUAUGCACGUCUUGACGGUACCUAAUCAGAAAGCCACGGCUAACUACGUG
rnacentral:rRNA from 1 species